UAGGGUGAGAGGUGACGGGGAGUUAAAGGAAACUUUGACGAACUCGUGAAUCCCACACUGCCAAGAAAAGCUUCUAGCGAGGACUGAUCCGCCCGUACCGUAAACCGACACAGGUAGGCGGGGAGAGAAUCCUAAGGUGCGCGGGAAAACCCUCGUUAAGGAACUCGGCAAAUUGCAUCCGUAACUUCGGAAGAAGGAUGGCCCUGAGUAGGCGAAAAGUCUAGCACUUGGAACCGGAAAGGGCGGCAGAAAAGAGGCCCAAGCAACUGUUUACCAAAAACACAGGUGCCUGCGAAAGCGAAAGCUGACGUAUAGGUGCUGACGCCUGCCCGGUGCUGGAAGGUUAAGGAGAGAGGUUAGCGCAAGCGAAGCUUUGAACUGAAGCCCCCAGUGAACGGCGGCCGUAACAAUAACGGUCCUAAGGUAGCGAAAUUCCUUGUCGGGUAAGUUCCGACCCGCAUGAAAGGCGUAAUGAUUUGGGCACUGUCUCAACGAGGGGCCCGGUGAAAUUGAAAUACCUGUGAAGAUGCAGGUUACCCGCGACUGGACAGAAAGACCCCAUGGAGCUUUACUGCAGCUUGAGACGGAAUCUCAGAAGUAGACGCACAGGAUAGGUGGGAGGCAUUGAAACAUACACUUAGGUGGAUGUGGAGCCGCCGUUGGGAUACCACCCUUCUAGUUCUGGGAUUCUAACGCGAGGAGUAACGACCCUGCGGACAAUCUCAGGCGGGCGGUUUGACUGGGGCGGUCGCCUCCGAAAGAGUAACGGAGGCGCCCAAAGGUUCCCUCAGGCCGGACAGAAACCGGCCGACGAGUGCAAAGGCAGAAGGGAGCUUGACUGCGAGACCAACAAGUCGAGCAGAGACGAAAGUCGGGCUUAGUGAUCCGGUGGCCCUGCGUGGAAAGGCCAUCGCUCAACGGAUAAAAGCUACCCUGGGGAUAACAGGCUAAUCUCUCCCAAGAGUUCAUAUCGACGGGGAGGUUUGGCACCUCGAUGUCGGCUCAUCACAUCCUGGGGCUGGAGUAGGUCCCAAGGGUUGGGCUGUUCGCCCAUUAAAGUGGUACGCGAGCUGGGUUCAAAACGUCGUGAGACAGUUUGGUUCAUAUCCAUCGCGGGCGUAAGAAGUUUGAGGGGAGCUGCUCCUAGUACGAGAGGACCGGAGUGGACGGAUCAACGGUGUACCAGUUGUCACGCCAGUGGCACGGCUGGAAAGCCGCAUCCGGAAGGGAUAAACGCUGAAAGCAUCUAAGCGUGAAGCCCACCCCGAGAUGAGACUUCUCAUCAGAAAUGAGUAAGACUCCUUAUAGACUAUGAGGUUGAUAGGCCGCAAGUGGAAGCGCAGCGAUGUGCGGAGCGAUGCGGUACUAAUAAGUCGAGGUCUUAAC
rnacentral:rRNA from 1 species